AGGAGCUCGGAACUAACAGUGGAACUACAAUUCCCAUCCCGUCACGUGACGCCCUCUGACCCAAAAAGACUUUUCCCUUCAGACUCACCCGGAGAAAGA